ACACCUCAACCCUCCAAUGUUUUUGCAUUGAAGGUGUUGGUAGUGAGCGCUGCCGGACUUUGGGUCGGCUCGCUUUAAAAUCAUUAGCUGCAUCCAUUCUGACCUGGUUCUACUCGGCGUAAUAAGUUAUUAUCGUCGAGGACGCAUGCCUUUCUAGGCAGGCGGCCACAGUAAGGGUGUUUGAACCGCUUCCAACAUGUCUUGCUCUUAUAGCAAACACUUGAAC
rnacentral:misc_RNA from 1 species